rnacentral:lncRNA from 1 species
GUUGCCUGAGUAGUUGUUUCGGUGGUUGCCGUUGCGGUUCCUAUCUUGUUCUUGGUUAUUGCCGUGAUUGUUGUUAUUGUCACAGCUGCGAUUAUGGUUUGACUCAAAUCUUUUGCGUUCUUUAUCUUAUUCAUCUACCCAUGAUUGGUCCAUGAUCUUGAGUGCUUUGACAUCCGCAGGGCAACGCCUACCGAAGUCUUGGAACACGCGGC